AAAUAUAUUUUUAUUGAUAUACUAAAACUGGAAUGAUACAGAGAAGAUUAGCAUGGCCCCUGUGCAAGGAUGACACGCAAAUUCGUAAAUCCAGAUUUUU
rnacentral:snRNA from 1 species